CUUUGGCACCGCGCGGUGUGCCUUGUCUGCAACUCCCUUUUCCCGCAGCCGAUGUGGUUGCUCUGCCUGAAAGCGGUGAAAGCCAUAAAACGAGGCAUCAUCUGGAUGUUUUGAGGAAGACUUACCUUUGCGUGGUGAGGAGAGAGAAGGACGGGAGGCAGUGGCUCUGGUGGUGGCAGCGCAGCCUGGCCGCCGCGUCCUCAGCAGAACAGGCGGGGAGGGGGAGCAGGACGGGAGGCAGUGGCUCCAGUGAUGGCGGCAUGGCCCAGCAGCGGCCACUGCAGCAUCGUCGGGGUUCCCUGCUGCCCCCGGCCUGGCUGCUGCCCCCAUAGCCCAAGGCCUCCUUCUCCUGCAGCACUGAGGGCGGCGGCAGCGGGAGGACAGCGAAGUGGCAUGGCUACUUUGGCCUCACUCAGUGCGACUGGCAGCAGCGGCAGCAGAAGGACAGCCAAGAGGACCGUGCAGCAGGUGGGGAAAGGGCCGACCAGGUGCCGCAGGGGAAUCCGCUGCCCAUAAGACGGCCGAAAGGCACAGGCGGAGAGGGGAAGCUCCGGAAGACCCCCGGUGACCCCAACAGGCGGCGGCGGAGCAGGGCAAAGGGAGACCUGGCGGGCAGGGAAGAGGCACCCCAAGACCAGCCACCUGCGGCUCCUUACCAGGGACACCUUUCCAGCAAUCCUCCCCGCCACCACGUGCAGUACGAAGAAGGAAAGAGGUUGUGGGCAGUCCCACAAACCAAAGAAGUUCAACCAAUCAAUUCAAACUUCAUGAGAAGUUUGAAUUGAUUGGUUGAACUUUUUUAGUCCCACUUUUUUUUUCAGACUGCACAUGGUGGCUGAGGACAGGGAGCCGCAGGAGACGGCUGAAAGAGCGGAGCUGUGUUCUAACCUCUCUGUACAUGCCACACAUUGCAGGAAGAUUUUAAUGACCUUUAGAAAUAAUGACUGCCUUGUAAGCUACCUAAAACCAUUUGGGAGAAGAUAAAAUGGAUAUUUCUUAAAUAAAUGAAUAAAUAAGCAAGCCAAACCAGUGUUUGCAGAUUAAAAUUGAUUAAAGGUUACUUCACAAGUUACUUUUGGACUACCAUUUUGUUGAAUUUAUAGCAUGCAUGUCCUUUACCCAUAUAUGUACAGGGUGAAAGGGGUCUGUCCAGUUCAAACACGACCCAAUAUCUAAAUCAUUUUGAUGGGGGGGAAGAAGCCAAUCUGUUUAUGGACUCUUACCUUGGCAUUUAGCAGGCUCUUUGCCCCAUCUGACUGUAUGUGUGUGUGUUUUCUUUUAAAAGAAAGCCAGACUUUAAAAUGAUUUAUUUCCAAAGAAAUCUCUCUGAGUCCAUUACAUAGUCUCACAGGUAAUCUUAGAAAAUAAAAACGGGUCUGUGACUGUAGGCCAAUGCUUUGUUCUGAAGCAUAUCUACCCAUCUAUAAAAAAACAAAAGACAGCUUGAAUAGUAGGAACAACACAGUGUGGUAGAAGGAAUGAAUUCCCAGUUGCUCUUUGUAAAAUAGAUGUUUUAUGACUGGCUACAUUCUGAUGCAUAUUUUCCUUCCCAUGGUGUCCAUUAUAGGGAAUAAGAAGCCCCAUUCAGGCUGCCCCCACAACGUCCUCUCAUAUAUUUAAUGUUCCAAGUGUUCAAAUAGCUAUUAGUAUGGGUUUUAAUCUUUUAAAUAUAUAUACUGUACAUACAUACAAACAGUUUUAAUCCCUAACAUGCGAAAGGCUGUUUUAUUUUAGAAAAAUCAUCUCCAAUUUGCAAUUUUCAGAAUUUAAAAGGAAUCAUAAGAUUUCUAUACUGGUUGUGCAUAUUGAGAAAACAACCAUUCUGUACAACCUUGUGGCUGCAUUGCAAAUAAUGUUAUUGUCAGAAACUACUUGUGAAGAUAAAGUACUGUAUGCUUAAAAAUGCUUGAAGAUGCAGAUUGACACCUAUGACAUUAGUUGGUGUCUGUUCCUAACUCUGAUGAUGUCAAAACAACAAAAUGUUUCAUGACAUAAUGACACAAAUGUCAAUAUUUUCUACUUGCAUCAUGACAUCCCAAUGUACAAUAUAUAAGGGGAGAGUUUGUACUAGGUGCAUGGUUUAUUUCUUGUUCCCUUGGCAAACAUUUCUUGGUCAUGUGCCUCCUGAAUUCAGAAACUUCAAAUGCAGUGAUUUUAAAAAGUAAUGCAUGCUUACAAGUUCAACAAAAGAGCAUACAGAAUAAUAAAUAAAACCUGAUCUGCAAAGUAUUCAUGUAUCUAUUUAUACAGUAUUUCUUUGACACUGACACAAAACUGCUAUUUCUAUGUCAGACCACUAUUGUUAAUUCAAGUCAUAAUGAGGAACCUGCAAACAGACUCAUAGCUAUUGAAUCAAAUCUAAUUAUCUAGGAAAAAGUCAACUCUUCGUUUCUGUUCUUUUUACUUAGCAGUUUUUUAUACUGAGGUUUUUGUACUUAGUACAACUUUAAAAAGUAUGGACUUCAACUUCCAGAAUUCUGGGAGUUGAAGUUCACACUUUUUAAGGUUACCCAAGUAUCGUGGAAACAGAAGUCCCAUUGUUUCUCUCUGUUCUUCCAAGUGAGUGAGAACAAUUUCUAGGCCUUGCUGAAGAAUCACUUAGUAAAUCUAGAUAUUUUCCCCUCAACCGAAGAACAUUUUUCUUUCCGCUUACAAAUUCCUUUCGUAAUGCCUAGUUUAAUUCUAAAAGUGCCAGUUCAAACCCUGAUAAAAGAUGCUACACAAUAGUUUACUGGAAUUUGUUAGGGAAAACUGUCUAGGGAACUUAACUGAAUAUUACUGUAAUAGAAUACUUUUGUUCUAAACAAACACUAGCUGGAAGUGCAUAGAAGUUACCCCACAAUAAUUCAAAUAUAUUAGUGUCUCUCUGCUUGGUUAAAUUGAUAAGCAUGAGGACAUUCAAAUAUUAGAGAAUAUGAACCACUCCAAGAAAGUGAUCUCAUUAGAAUAGAAAAGGCACUGAAGUAGUUUCCAGCUGUUUACAAAUAAUCUACCAAAAAAGGUAGAAAGUGGUUAUGAUCUAACACAUUCCUUACAUUGUUUUAUAUUAAAUAUAAGCUCCUGAAUUAAUAUAAUGCAUUGACAUACAUUAAGUGAUUCAUGUGAACAAAAGGCAUAGCUGUCAACUAAGUGCUAUAUUUACUUAGAUUUGUGAGCAACUUUCAUCUGGUAUGAGAGAGAACACAUGUUGAGAUAUAAAUAUCUAGUUUGGGACAUAAUUAUGAAUUCCAUGUCACAGUCCAAUUUACAAAGGUAGAGAAAGAACACACCAUAUCAAUACACAGUUGUAACUGUUGUGGAAUCUUCAAAUACACCUGUAAGAAUACUAAAAUCUGAAUCAUAACUGUGAAGGUAAAUAGAAA